UACGUAGGGGGCAAGCGUUGUCCGGAAUUAUUGGGCGUAAAGCGCUCGCAGGCGGUCCUUUAAGUCUGAUGUGAAAGUCCACGGCUCAACCGUGGGAUUGCAUUGGAAACUGGGGGACUUGAGUGCAGUAGAGGAGAGUGGAAUUCCUGGUGUAGCGGUGAAAUGCGUAGAGAUCAGGAGGAACAUCAAUGGCGAAGGCAGCUCUCUGGACUGUAACUGACGCUGAGGCGCGAAAGCGUGGGUAGCAAACAGG
rnacentral:rRNA from 1 species